rnacentral:rRNA from 1 species
AUUGAACGCUGGCGGAAUGCUUUACACAUGCAAGUCGAACGGCAGCACGGGGCAACCUGGUGGCGAGUGGCGAACGGGUGAGUAAUACAUCGGAACGUGCCCAAUCGUGGGGGAUAACGUAGCGAAAGUUACGCUAAUACCGCAUACGAUCUACGGAUGAAGGCGGGGGAUCGCAAGACCUCGCGCGAAUGGAGCGGCCGAUGUCAGAUUAGGUAGUUGGUGGGGUAAAGGCUCACCAAGCCAACGAUCUGUAGCUGGUCUGAGAGGACGACCAGCCACACUGGAACUGAGACACGGUCCAGACUCCUACGGGAGGCAGCAGUGGGGAAUUUUGGACAAUGGGCGCAAGCCUGAUCCAGCCAUUCCGCGUGCAGGAUGAAGGCCUUCGGGUUGUAACUAGCUUUUGUACGGUAACGAAACGGUACUGCCCUAAUACGCGGGCGUAACUGACGGUACCGUAAGGAAUAAGACACC